rnacentral:tRNA from 1 species
GGAGAGAUGGCCGAGUGGUUUAAGGCGCGGCACUGGAAAUGCCGUUUGGGGGCAACUUCAACUAGGGUUCAAAUCCCUAUCUCUCCG